rnacentral:rRNA from 1 species
CUGUCUUAGUGGCGGACGGGUGAGUAACGCGUGGGCAACCUGCCCUGUACCGGGGGAUAACACUUAGAAAUAGGUGCUAAUACCGCAUAAUAGGGAAUACCGCAUGGUAAUCCUUUGAAAACUCCGGUGGUACAGGAUGGGCCCGCGUCUGAUUAGCCAGUUGGCGGGGUAACGGCCCACCAAAGCGACGAUCAGCAGCCGGCCUGAGAGGGUGAACGGCCACAUUGGGACUGAGACACGGCCCAAACUCCUACGGAAGGCAGCAG